ACAUGCCUACAACACAGUGUUAGUGCACCAUAUCCGAUUAGAACUCCGCAGUUAAGCGCACUCAGGAUAGAGUAGUAUUGGGAUGGGUGACCACCCGUGAAGUCCUACUAUUUUACAUGCC
rfam:Picea glauca, whole genome shotgun sequence.